UACAGAGGUCUCGAGCGUUAAUCGGAAUCACUGGGCUUAAAGGGUGCGUAGGCGGACUCGAAAGUACCUUGUGAAAUCCCACGGCUCAACCGUGGAAAGGCUUGGUAAACUGCGAGUCUUGAGGUCGGUAGGGGUUGCCGGAACUCUAGGUGGAGCGGUGAAAUGCGUAGAUAUCUAGAGGAACGCCAAAGGUGAAGACAGGCAACUGGGCCGAUUCUGACGCUGAGGCACGAAAGCGUGGGGAG
rnacentral:rRNA from 1 species